CAAGGCGUGUGUGAUGUUUGUGAUGUUUCCCUGUGUGCAGCUUAGUUCACGGUGACGGACUCGCAGCUCAGACGGUGAAUACGGCACCGCAACGAGGCCGUGUUCGCCAUAUUGUGUUAGUUUGUGCGAUCACGUUUGGCACAACACCAGAAUGUAGACACUCUGAGCUCCGGACGGGACUUUAUCUUCACGGUGCUGCCAGAGGGAGAGACGCACUCAAUCAUUACUUGUUAUAAACAGGACUGUUUUGGAUUACACACAACGACCUGUAGAAAGUGUGUGUGAGCUGAGCAGCAUGGAUCAGUGUGAGGACAGAGAGGAGGGAGCCCCUCCCUCUAAAAGCACUCUGUGUGGGGAACAUGAGAGCCAGACCAAAGCUCAGAGG